rnacentral:rRNA from 1 species
GAUGAACGCUGGCGGCGUGCCUAAUACACGCAAGUCGAGCGAACAGACGAGGAGCUUGCUCCUCUGACGUUAGCGGCGGACGGGUGAGUAACACGUGGAUAACCUACCUCUAAGACUGGGAUAACUUCGGGAAACCGGAGCUAAUACCGGAUAAUAUAUUGAACCGCAUGGUUCAAUAGUGAAAGACGGUUUUGCUGUCACUUAUAGAUGGAUCUGCUCCGCAUUAGCUAGUUGGUAAGGUAACGGCUUACCAAGGCAACGAUGCGUAUCCGACCUGAGAGGAUGUUCGGCCACACUGGAACUGAAACACGGUCCAGACUCCUACGGUAAGCAGCAGUAAGAAAUCUUCCGCAAUGUGCGGAAGCUUGACGAAGCAACGCCGCGUUAGUGAUGAAGGUCUUCGGAUCAUAAAACUCUGUUAUGAGAGAAGAACAAAUUUUUAAGUAACUAUGCACGUCUUGACGGUACCUAAUCAGAAAGCCACGGCUAACUACGUG